rnacentral:rRNA from 1 species
AUUGAACGCUGGCGGCAGGCCUAACACAUGCAAGUCGAACGAGUGGCGGACGGGUGAGUAAUGUCUGGGAAACUGCCUGAUGGAGGGGGAUAACUACUGGAAACGGUAGCUAAUACAGCAUACCAUCGGAUGUGCCCAGAUGGGAUUAGCUAGUAGGUGGGGUAAAGGCUCACCUAGGCGACGAUCCCUAGCUGGUCUGAGAGGAUGACCAGCCACCCUGGAACUGUGACCCGGUCCAGACUCCUACGUGAGGCAGCAGUGGGGAAUAUUGCACAAUGGGCGCAUGCCUGCUGCACCCAUGCCGCGUUUAUGAAGAAGGCCUUCGGGUUGUAAAGUACUUUCAGCGGGGAGGCGUUACCCGCCGAAGAAGCACCGGCUACCUCCGUGCCAGCCGCCGCGGUAAUA